rnacentral:rRNA from 2 species
GAUGAACGCUGGCGGCGUGCCUAAUACAUGCAAGUCGAACGAGUUCUGAUUAUUGAAAGGUGCUUGCAUCUUGAUUUAAUUUUGAACGAGUGGCGGACGGGUGAGUAACACGUGGGUAACCUGCCCUUAAGUGGGGGAUAACAUUUGGAAACAGAUGCUAAUACCGCAUAAAUCCAAGAACCGCAUGGUUCUUGGCUGAAAGAUGGCGUAAGCUAUCGCUUUUGGAUGGACCCGCGGCGUAUUAGCUAGUUGGUGAGGUAACGGCUCACCAAGGCAAUGAUACGUAGCCGAACUGAGAGGUUGAUCGGCCACAUUGGGACUGAGACACGGCCCAAACUCCUACGGGAGGCAGCAGUAGGGAAUCUUCCACAAUGGACGCAAGUCUGAUGGAGCAACGCCGCGUGAGUGAAGAAGGCUUUCGGGUCGUAAAACUCUGUUGUUGGAGAAGAAUGGUCGGCAGAGUAACUGUUGUCGGCGUGACGGUAUCCAACCAGAAAGCCACGGCUAACUACGUGCCAGCAGCCGCGGUAAUACGUAGGUGGCAAGCGUUAUCCGGAUUUAUUGGGCGUAAAGCGAGCGCAGGCGGUUUUUUAAGUCUGAUGUGAAAGCCCUCGGCUUAACCGAGGAAGUGCAUCGGAAACUGGGAAACUUGAGUGCAGAAGAGGACAGUGGAACUCCAUGUGUAGCGGUGAAAUGCGUAGAUAUAUGGAAGAACACCAGUGGCGAAGGCGGCUGUCUGGCCUGUAACUGACGCUGAGGCUCGAAAGCAUGGGGUAGCGAACAGG